rnacentral:rRNA from 1 species
CCGCAUACGAUCUAAACUCGGCAUCGAGGAUAGAUGAAAGGUGGCCUCUACAUGUAAGCUAUCACUGAAGAGGGGAUUGCGUCUGAUUAGCUAGUUGGAGGGGUAACGGUCCACCAAGGCGAUGAUCAGUAGCCGGUCUGAGAGGAUGAACGGCCACAUUGGGACUGAGACACGGCCCAGACUCCUACGGGAGGCAGCAGUGGGGAAUCUUCCGCAAUGGACGAAAGUCUGACGGAGCAACGCCGCGUGAGUGAUGACGGCCUUCGGGUUGUAAAGCUCUGUUAAUCGGGACGAAAGGCCUUCUUGCGAAUAGUGAGAAGGAUUGACGGUACCGG